CACGUAGGGUGCAAGCGUUGUCCGGAAUUAUUGGGCGUAAAGGGCUCGUAGGCGGUUUGUCGCGUCGGGAGUGAAAACCCAGGGCUUAACCCUGGGCUGGCUUCCGAUACGGGUAGACUAGAGGUAUGCAGGGGAGAACGGAAUUCCGGGUGUAGCGGUGGAAUGCGUAGAGAUCCGGAAGAACACCGGUGGCGAAGGCGGCCCGCUGGGCAGUGGCUGACGC
rnacentral:rRNA from 1 species